rnacentral:rRNA from 1 species
UACGAAGGGUGCAAGCGUUAAUCGGAAUUACUGGGCGUAAAGCGCGCGUAGGUGGUUCGUUAAGUUAGGAGUGAAAGCCCCGGGCUCAACCUGGGAAUUGCUUCUAAAACUGGCGAGCUAGAGUAUGGUAGAGGUGGUGGAAUUUCCUGUGUAGCGGUGAAAUGCGUAGAUAUAGGAAGGAACAUCAGUGGCGAAGGCGACCACCUGGACUGAUACUGACACUGAGGCACGAAAGCGUGGGGAGCAAACAGGAUUAGAUACCCGUGUAGUUCCU